AUAUCCAUAGGAAUAUAUAGAUAGGAAUUCCUCAAUGGAGAGAUCAUGCCUUACUCAUCUGUAUUUUUUAAACUUAACAAUAUACAGUACUCUGCACAUGACAGCUAUUCAAUAUGUUUUGGCUCAACACGUGAAUGAAUGAAGAAAUAAACUAAUAUAAAGCUUUCAGGUAACCAUAUUUUAUGAUCCAUGAUGUUCAUUUUAAAAAAUUCAGCCUCUCCCCCAACUGAAAGAAAUUGAGUGUGCAAGAUCCAAGAAUAAAGUAAGAUUCUGGAAGAGUUAUACCACACACCAUUUCUCUGAAUAUUCAGGGAGGAGAAUGAGGAAAAUCUUUAUUAUGUCUAUUCUGCAAGUAAUGCCAUUCUCAAGUAGUUCUGGAAAUAAAGUAUAUCUACUUACAUUUGUAUAGUUAUACAAAGAUUUUUACGCACUUUAUCAGCUUACUAAUUACUGGGGCCUUGCUUUCCAUUUGAGGAAGCUGGCCUAUGGUCCUAUUGCUUUAAGAAGAUAAAUGGAUUACAAAAUCACCAUCAUGGUUGGAAUGUGAAAGAACAUGCUAAAUUAGGAGAACAGUGGCCUCUUUUUUUUUUACAGUAAUUUAUGAGUGGUGACAGAAAUAAAUGUCUUUGGAUGACAAUAGGGCUGUCAGUAUCAAAUGAUAAUAUCACACUUGUGGUUAAAUAAGCGACAUCUGUCAGGGAGUAAGAUGUGUAGAGCAAUCAGUAUACUUGUUAGAAUCAUAAUGCUCAUAUUAAAAUAAUUCUGGCUAUCAUUUUCCUUAGUUCUAGCUUUUUAUUUAAAUUUCUAUCCUAUUGAUAUAUUAAAUAUCCAUUUUAAUGUGAACCAUACUAAAUCACUUUAAAGAAAUAGAUGAGGGUGUGAACAAUUCUAAAUAGAAAGAAAAAAGAAACUAAAACUGAGCCCAACCAAUUUCUUAACUAUUUCCUUACAAUAAGGUAGUUAUUGGGAUAAACACAAUAACCACUCAAAAAUCAAGAUUAUAUAACUCUAAACAAUGCAAUGGUGACCUGAGUCAUUUAGCUGCACAAAUACACAGCAGGUGAAAUGACAGCAUCUAAAUCACACAUUACCUGGGAAAAUAAAAAUAAAAUAUUUAUACGAGAGCAGUUGCUUGAUAAAUGUAUCCUACUUUUCUUCAGUGUUUAGUUUUGAAUAAUGGCCAGACUUGUCAAUGGCUUUGCCUUGACAAAUUUAUCUCACAGUCAGCAGCCUUAUCUUGAGACAACAAUCUAUUCCUUUAUGUUAUCUUGCAGAUCGUAACUGUUUAAUAUUCUCAUUGAAAAUUUCCUAUCAAUUUUGUUAUUUGUGUCAUAGGAUGCCAAACUUUCUAAUAAAGUAUAUUGGCAUAUGGCUUGCAACUAAAAUUUCAAAAUAAUAGGUAUAUAGUAGUUUUGUGGCUGUUGUUUACAUAUAUAUCCCAAAGGGAGAAAUGUUAUGAAAAGCAAAGCAAAUGCUAACAAUUUUUUAAAUUCAGAUUUCUUUAGAUUGCAUAUAAACUCCUGAGAAAGUUCAUAGACUUGCAGCUUAAAGAGAUACAACAAUAUUUUACUUAUUAACAUACCAGUCACAUCCCAUCAUAUUAGAUGGAGUAGCCACAUGGCCAGUUACUUAGAGAACUGAGGAAGUUGCCAGGAAUUUGUAACCAUUGGCAAUCUUCUCACUAAACAUAUUUUUUUCCAAGUGUUGUUGCUCCUGUGGCUACAGGAGGCUUCUCACAGCAUACAAACAAAGGAAAAAUUCAAAGGCAAAUUCUUUAAGGGAGCAUUGUUUGUAUGGCUAGUUCAUUUCGAAACAUUCAUACUGAACAGCUAGACAAGAAUUUGUACUAGUUAGACCUUGACUUCCCCUCCAUGAACAUUCAGUUUAAUUUACUCAUCUAAGGCUCAGAGCAUUUUUAUAAUUUGCCCAAAUCUACCUAGACAGGAAAAGAGGAAAGACAACCAUAUAUACUGGUAACUCUUCCAGAAACAUCUAAUCUAGUGUUCUUUCUACUAACCAUUGUUCUUAAAAUUCACAUGAAAUAUUUACUAAAAAUACAUAUUUCUUGGUCCCUACCCCAAAUGUGGAGUGAAACCAAGGGAAUUUUCAUUUUUCCUGUCUAGAGUAUGGUGAUGUAGCAACCUAAAAACAUGUUUUGAGACAUAAUUUUCUAUGCUACAAUAUUUCUUCAUAAAUAUAAAAUAAUUGUUCAUUGCUUUGGUUAACAUGGUAGCUUUCUCAACAGAUUUCUUAGACAUUCAGUUCCAGCAUAGCUAAUGCAGACUGAGGUGGGGAGAAAAUUAAAUGGUGUGUGUGUGUGUGUGUGUGUGUGUGUGUAUGUGUGUGUGUGUGUGUGUGUGUGUGUGAGUGUAUUAAGGUGCAAGAUAAAAGUAAAGAAUGGAUUGGAUAGAGCCUACUUACAAAUAAGCCAAGAGUAGAAGACACAUCAAACUGAUUCAAGAUCCACCCACUUUUCUAUAUUAGGGCUACUUUUAUGUUUGUAUUUCUUUCAGUGUAGAUCAGUAUGUGUGCUGGGAGCCAAAGAAAAGUUAUUUCAAAGUAGAGGUUUGGUGCCAACUUCUCCCAUAGGGAAUGAGAAGACUCUAAGAGCUUCUUGCCCUAAUGAUGGCAUCAUCCCCCUCACUUUUUUCUUUGCUGUCCUUACUAUGCACCUGCAAGUCAGUCACAUUCUGUUGUACAUUGCCAGUGCGGUGUGAUUAAUGCUCAAAGGAAACACAUCAUUUCCCACAUGAUCCAGUACUAUACUCUCUAUGCCCCUCAUUCAGUGGUCCUUCUCAGCAGGGAGUCCCAGGCUGGGUCUCAGUACUUAACUCAUAGGUAGCUAGUUUCUGAUGAAGAUAAGAGACCAGUGGUUGAAUACCAUGGUAAUAACAUGCCAUUUAAUAAUGAAAAGCAAGAUGAG